rnacentral:rRNA from 1 species
CAGUCGCCGCGUAAUACGUAGGUGGCAAGCGUUGUCCGGAAUUAUUGGGCGUAAAGCGCGCGCAGGCGGAUCAGUUAGUCUGUCUUAAAAGUUCGGGGCUUAACCCCGUGAUGGGAUGGAAACUGCUGAUCUAGAGUAUCGGAGAGGAAAGUGGAAUUCCUAGUGUAGCGGUGAAAUGCGUAGAUAUUAGGAAGAACACCAGUGGCGAAGGCGACUUUCUGGACGAAAACUGACGCUGAGGCGCGAAAGCCAGGGGAGCGAACGGGAUUAGAUACCCGUGUAGUCCCUGUCUCUUAUACAC